rnacentral:rRNA from 1 species
GAUGAACGCUAGCGGCAGGCUUAAUACAUGCAAGUCGAGGGGCAGCAGGACUGUAGCAAUACAGUUGCUGGCGACCGGCAAACGGGUGCGGGACACGUACGCAACCUACCCAAAACUGGGGGAUAGCCCGGGGAAACCCGGAUUAAUACCUCGUAACCUUUUUAAGUGGCAUCACUUGAUAAGUAUAGCUCCGGCGGUUUUGGAUGGGCGUGCGCCUGAUUAGGUAGUUGGUGCGGGUAACGGCCCACCAAGCCUGCGAUCAGUAACUGGUGUGAGAGCACGACCAGUCACACGGGCACUGAGACACGGGCCCGACUCCUACGGGAGGCAGCAGUAAGGAAUAUUGGUCAAUGGACGCAAGUCUGAACCAGCCAUGCCGCGUGAAGGAUGAAGGUCCUCUGGAUUGUAAACUUCUUUUAUGGGGGACGAAACCCGGAUAUUCUUAUCCGAUUGACGGUACCUCAGGAAUAAGCACCGGCUAACUCCGUG